rnacentral:rRNA from 1 species
UACGUAGGGGGCAAGCGUUGUCCGGAUUUAUUGGGCGUAAAGAGCGUGUAGGCGGCCAGGUAGGUCGGUUGUGAAAACUGGAGGCUCAACCUUCAGACGUCGACCGAAACCAUCUGGCUAAAGUCCGGGAGAGGAGAGUGGAAUUCCUGGUGUAGCGGUGAAAUGCGCAGAUAUCAGGAAGAACACCCGUGGCGAAAGCGGCUCUCUAGAACGGUACUGACGCUGAGACGCGAAAGCGUGGGGAGCGAACAGG